GUUCUUAGAUUUUUAUCUUAAGAACGCUCGCGAGGUUUUUGAACCAAAGACAGUUGAGAGAAAUUGAUUUGUGAAAAAUGGAGCAAGCAAAAACUUCUCCAAACAGGAGUUGGAGGUGAUGGUCGAUGAGAUCAUCAUCAGAAAAAGAUUAUUGUUUGGCAAGCUAGACAGUGUGAUAACAUCGGAAAACAAAAAGAGGGCGUGGGCCAAAGUUGCCCUCACUGUAUCUGCACUGGCGGAUAUUGGAAUCGUUCGCGAUGUCAACGCUGUAAAAAAAAAGUGGGCGGACAUCAAAUCUAUUGUAAAAAAGAAGGGAACGGAGAGGGCAAGAGAGUUGAAAAAAACUGGAGGAGCGAAGACCACAAUCCAGCUGGACCCACUGGAGGAGAAAUUGUUGGGGGCGAUUGCCGAAACGUUAGUUGAAGGAGUAGAUGGAGGAGUGGGCACCGGAGAACCGGGAGAAGACGAUAGCCUGCAAGCAGGAGAUUCUUUGGUCGUAAUAGCAGUCAACCAGGAUGCAGAACAAUCCCACGCAUUCAAUGCAGCUGAACCAACACAAGCCCUCACAAAUCAUCAAAACCUGUUACAGAGUCCCGGGGAUGACCUGACAUUAUCACAGCUAAUCUCGGAAACCUUUCAUACACCUGCCACAUCCAGAAGCAACACAGAGGACAUGGUCUCCCUUCAGCGUCAGCUUUUGGAGGAAGUUAAAAUGCUGAGGCAUACUCAGGAGCAACUUCUGCAGGUGGAGAGGGAAAAGCUGCUCGUCGAGAGGGAGAAGCUUCGCCUUGCCCAAGCCAAGUUUGAUUUAAAAAAAAAAGAGUGUUGAACCUAGAAUAAAAUAGCAAUCACUGAGAGGUUUUCAUGUGUUGUUUAUUGUGGUUUUUUUAUUGAGGUCUUGUCUCACUUGCACAAGUGUUACAUGGGGCAGGGACUGGGACAUCUCCCUCGGGGUCAUCAUCAUCUGGGAUGUCAGGGAUUGGCAAGAGGUACAUAAUUCAGAUGUUGUGGAGGAUAAAAGCACAGGUAAUAAUUGUACAUGCCCUCUCAGG
ensembl:lncRNA